rnacentral:lncRNA from 1 species
AAGUCCUUCCCACAGAGAGCGGUUUGAUAUGUCACUGAAACCAGCAUCCAGGUGGUAUUGCUCCAUAUGCCUGAGACCCUAACAAAAGCCUAAUUACAACUCAUAUGCCUGGAGCCAGGACAUGUGCAGGAUGCCAUGAUGGUCCAAGUUAUAUUGGGAUUCAGCCAAUAGAAGAUAUUUUGCCUGUCAUCCCUAAGCUUAGGACAAUAGACUCUGCCAAGAGAGGGGAUUAUUACAUAUUGCAGAGCCCAGCACCUAGGUGGAGUGACUCUCAUCUUUUUCUUCUACCCCGUAUAUAGCCAGCUUGGUGACCUACUAUUUGAGUCUAUACCCAGGCCCAGACCACAGAUGAAAUUGUGCAAUAUGUGGAACAAACACCUAAACAAUAUAUAACACCUUCCUUGGCUCUGUCUACAAAGGGCACUUUUAUAUAUCACUGGGACCAUCAACCAGGUGAUAUAACCCUCUUCUCUGGAAUGGGCCCCACACAAAGGAAGGAUAGUGACAUAUUGCAAGCCCAGGCACACAGGCCCAGAGCACAGUUGAAAUUGUGACAUAUGUACACCAAGCAACCAAGCAAUGUAUAACACCUCAUUUGGCAAUGGAAUCGAGGGCACUUUUACAUAUCACUGAGACCAGCGCCCAGCUGAUGUGAAAUAUUGGCCUGAACCCUGCCUACAAAAGCAUUGUGGCUUUUAUCUAGCUCCAUUACAUAAGUGAUGUGA